rnacentral:rRNA from 1 species
UACGGAGGGUGCGAGCGUUGUCCGGAAUCAUUGGGCGUAAAGAGCUCGUAGGCGGCUCAGUAAGUCAGGUGUGAAAACUCCAGGCUCAACCUGGAGACGCCACCUGAUACUGCUGUGGCUAGAGUCCGGUAGGGGAGCAUGGAAUUCCUGGUGAUAGCGGUGAAAUGCGCAGAUAUCAGGAGGAACACCGGUGGCGAAGGCGGGUCUCUGGGCCGAUACUGACGCUGGAGGAGCGAAAGCGUGGGGAGCGAACAGG